AACCUGGUUGAUCCUGCCAGUAGUCAUAUGCUUGUCUUAAAGAUUAAGCCAUGCAUGUCUAAGUAUAAGCAUUUAUACCGCGAGACUGCGAACGGCUCAUUAAAACAGUUAUGGUUUAUUUGAUGGUUCCUUUGCUACUUGGAUAACCGUAGUAAUUCUAGAGCUAAUACAUGCACGAAGGGGCGACUUACGAAGCCCUGUAUUUAUUAGAUUAAAGCCAACCGCCUCCGGGUGUUCGUGGUGAAUCAUAGUAACUUAUCGGAUCGCCGGCUCUAUGCCAGCGACGUGUCAUUCAAAUUUCUGCCCUAUCAGCUUUAGAUGGUAGGAUAUGGGCCUACCAUGGCGGUGACGGGUAACGGAGAAUUAGGGUUCGAUUCCGGAGAGGGAGCCUGAGAAACGGCUACCACUUCUAAGGAAGGCAGCAGGCGCGCAAAUUACCCAAUCCUGACUCAGGGAGGUAGUGACAAGAAAUAACAAUAAACCGGCUUAUGCCGGUUUAAUUGGAAUGAGUACAAUUUAAACAUCUUAACGAGGAACAAUUGGAGGGCAAGUCUGGUGCCAGCAGCCGCGGUAAUUCCAGCUCCAAUAGC
rnacentral:rRNA from 1 species